UACGGAGGGUGCAAGCGUUAUCCGGAUUUACUGGGUUUAAAGGGUGCGUAGGUGGAUAAUUAAGUCAGUGGUGAAAUCUUCAGGCUUAACCUGGAAACUGCCAUUGAUACUAUUUAUCUUGAAUACUUUGGAGGUAAGCGGAAUAUGUCAUGUAGCGGUGAAAUGCUUAGAUAUGACAUAGAACACCAAUUGCGAAGGCAGCUUACUACACAGUAAUUGACACUGAGGCACGAAAGCGUGGGGGAUCAAAACAGG
rnacentral:rRNA from 1 species